rnacentral:rRNA from 5 species
UUGACCUCGGAUCAGGUAGGAAUACCCGCUGAACUUAAGCAUAUCAAUAAGCGGAGGAAAAGAAACCAACAGGGAUUGCCCUAGUAACGGCGAGUGAAGCGGCAACAGCUCAAAUUUGAAAUCUGGCUCUCGGGCCCGAGUUGUAAUUUGUAGAGGAUGCUUUUGGCAAGGUGCCUUCCGAGUUCCCUGGAACGGGACGCCAUAGAGGGUGAGAGCCCCGUCUGGUUGGACACCGAGCCUCUGUAAAGCUCCUUCGACGAGUCGAGUAGUUUGGGAAUGCUGCUCUAAAUGGGAGGUAUAUGUCUUCUAAAGCUAAAUACUGGCCAGAGACCGAUAGCGCACAAGUAGAGUGAUCGAAAGAUGAAAAGCACUUUGAAAAGAGAGUUAAAAAGCACGUGAAAUUGUUGAAAGGGAAGCGCUUAUGACCAGACUUGGGCUUGGUUGAUCAUCCGGCGUUCUCGCCGGUGCACUCUUCCAGUUCAGGCCAGCAUCAGUUUGCCCCGGGGGAUAAAAGCUUCGGGAAUGUGGCUCCUCCGGGAGUGUUAUAGCCCGUUGCAUAAUACCCUGGGGCAGACUGAGGACCGCGCUUCGUGCAAGGAUGCUGGCGUAAUGGUCAUCAGCGACCCG